ACUUCACACUCGGCAGGCAGCAUGUGCAGCUGAGGCCCCUCUCCGGGCUGCAGACUCCCUCGAGGCGGGCAGCGAGGUCAGCCUGGCAGCCGCUGCCUCUCUCCAGCCCAGAUCUGGCCUCAGGCAGCCGGUUCCCGGACCCGAGGAAGUGAUGGCGGAACAGGAAGCCAGUGGGUUGCAGGUCCUGCUGCAAACACUCCAGAGUUCCUCUGACAAGGAGUCAAUCCUGACCAUCCUCCAGGUCCUUGGAGAUCUGCUUUCCGUUGGCACAGACCGGAGGAUUCGCUACAUGAUCAGCAAGGGUGGUAGCGAAGCCCUUCUGCAGACCCUGGUGGACACUGCCCGGACAGCUUCUCCAGACUAUGACAUCCUGCUGCCCCUCCUCCGGCUGCUGGCCAAAGUUGGCCUGCGAGAUAAAAAGUUUGGACAGAAGGCACUGGAAUUGGAAGCACUUGAUGUGACAUUGAUUCUGGCCAGGAAAAACCUGUCCCACAGCCAGAACCUCCUGCACUGUCUCUGGGCUCUGCGUGUGUUCACUUCUAGUGUCACCACAGGAGCCAUGCUAGGAAUUAAUGGAGCAAUGGAACUGCUUCUCAAGGUCAUCACCCCUUACACCCAGAAGCACACCCAAGUAAUCAGGGCAGCCACUGAAGUUCUGGCAGCACUGCUGAAAUCCAAGUCUAACAGCCGCAGGGCGGUGAACAGAGGCUAUGUCUCGGGCUUGCUCAGGCUGCAUCAGGACUGGCACAGCCAUGACACAGCCAAUUCCUAUGUAUUGAUCCGCCGGGCGCUUCUGCUCUGCCUCAAGCAUAUUGCCAACCUCCGGUCUGGCAGGGAGGCCUUCCUGGCAGCUCAGGGCAUGGAGAUCCUGUUCAGCACAACACAGAACUGCCUGGAUGACAAAAUUCUGGAGCCCGUCGUCUCCAUUGUGCUUCAGAUCCUGAGGCAAUGCUACCCUAAGAGCCCGCUUCCCUUGGUCACAGCCAAUAGCGCAUACACCUUCCCAGGCACUAGGAGCAUCACCUCUGACCCGCCACAUGUUCUAACUGAAGAAGAUUUUGAAGAGGAUGGUGAGGAAGAGGAGGACAAAGACUUGGAUUCUGAAGAUGUGAAAGAGGAAGAUGAUGACUUGGAAACAGAUGUGAACAAGCUGAGUUCCAAACCUGGUCUUGACCGACCUGCAGAGGAAUUAAUGCAGUACGAGGCGAUGUGUCUUGAGCUCUCCUGCAACUUCAAGGAACUGGAGUCUGAAGCUGGAGAUGAUCUGACGUUUGAUGAGACUCAGUAUACCAAUCACCACCACAUUCCGACCCCUGUCUCCCUCAAGGGGUGUUGCUUGAAUAAGGACCAAGUUUUCUGGGGACAUGAAAGAGAAGCCACAGCCCAAACCUCCCUUCUGAGCAGGGUGAAGAUGGGGAGGUCCAACCUACAUCUAACCUCCAAAAAAGGACCUGGAAUGAGCCCACACCAAAAUGUCCAAUCCAAAGGUUUUGGGCUCAGUUCUUCUGGAAGUAAAAGCCCCAGUAUCCAGCCACUCAUCAAAGAGGACACUUGGGACAUAGACGUGAUUUCCUGCCCAAGAAUGAGUGCCUCCUUGACCAAUUCCACUCAGCCUAAAGAAAUUGCUGAAUUAAUGGAUAAGCUUCUGCAGACACAUCCCAAGAGUAUGGCCUUCCAUGACCCCUAUCUUUAUAUGGCCAAAGCUAGAAGAACCAGAUCUGUUGCUGACUUCACAAUGAUGUCAUUUCCUGAUUUCUGGGGACACUGUCCACCUGCCUCUGCCCAGUCCAUGUUGGAACGUAAAUGUGGAGUUCAAAGGAUCAAGAUAUUUGAGGAUGUCCGGAGGCUCAUCCAGCCAAAUGAUGUUAUAAAUAAAGUUGUCUUCAGCUUAGAUGAGUCUUGGCCUUUGCAUGACAUUGCUUCUGACUGCUUACAAUUCUUCUCCAAGUUUGAGUCAGGAAAUCUUCGCAAAGCAAUCCAAGUGCGUGAGUUUGAGUACGACUUACUGGUCAAUGCUGAUGUGAAUAGUGCCCAGCACCAGCAGUGGUUUUACUUCAGGGUGACAGGUAUGAGGACUGCCAUCCCUUACCGCUUCAACAUCAUCAACUGUGAGAAGCCCAACAGCCAGUUCAAUUACGGGAUGCAGCCCACGCUGUAUUCUGUGAAGGAGGCUCUUCUAGGCAGACCUGGCUGGGUACGGACAGGCUAUGAAAUCUGUUAUUACAAAAAUCAUUAUCUCCAGAGUGCAGCCAUCACAGGGGGAGCAUCUGGGAAGUACUAUUACACCCUCACCUUUACCAUCACCUUCCCGCAUGAUGAGGAUGCCUGCUACCUGGCCUACCACUACCCCUACACCUACACCACCCUCAUGGUAAUGCCCUCCUUAAAGCCUUGCCCUAGCAGGACCUCUUGGGGGUUUUCCUGGAAGCAAUCAGGAGACCCUGCUACCUUCAGUGGGGACCUCAGACCUCCAAGGAAGCCGGGAUUGAUUGCCACUAAUGUGAUGGCUUUUUAUUUGUCCCAUUUCCUUCUUUGGCUGGAGCACAAAACUGCAGUCACGGCUAGUGACAUUCCGGAGGCUCCAGUGACAGGCAGUGCUCCUCAGCUGUAGAUUGAGUGUGGGUAGUGGGGGUCAUUUCUUAAAAAAGCCCUCAAAUUAAACACGGAGAAAUGAGGUAAGAGUGAGAUUAUUAGAUCAAAAUGGGGUAAAACUAUGCAGGGAAGCCGAGAUACAAAUUUCAAGAACAUGGAUGUAUGGAGAGUGAAGCAGAAGGUGAGAAAAUGAAGGCUGGAAAAACAGGCUGAGUUUGCAUUGUAACCACUUUCCCUUUUCCAGGGUUUCCCAUGGCCAGGGGCUAGAGGCUUCUAGAAGGCUCUGGGGUAGACAGGAAGGGUAGAAGAAUAAAACUGAAUGAAUUGCUGCA
rnacentral:lncRNA from 1 species